rnacentral:sRNA from 1 species
AGAAUGGAACCUAGUAUAUAAGGCAUUCAAGAAAUACUUGUUCAGUGAAUGACUACAUUGACUUGAGACAUGGGGAACAUCUUGUAAUGGCCUGGUGCCCUUUGAAGGCAAAGUUGGCUAAAAAAAAGAAAAGAACAUGGAGGCAGAUAUAAUCACAAAUCUUCGAUGCAGGCUCAAAGAGGCUGAAGAAGAGCGACUAAAAGCUGCACAGUAUGGUUUACAACUAGUAGAGAGUCAAAAUGAAUUACAGAAUCAACUGGAUAAAUGUCGUAAUGAAAUGAUGACCAUGACUGAGGUAGGACUCUGGACUCCUCUGUCUGCAAGAGUGUGCCUAGCUAUUGAAGAUUUGUCCUGUUUAGUAAUUAAUAGUAGUAGUAGUUUAUUCUUUUCUGAAGAUUUUAGAUCUAGUUCCCGCCCUGCCCCGUCCCUGUUAAAAAAAAAAUGAACUAAAUGAAUUCCUGUUAUUCUUUCCAACCUAGUAUAUUCAGAGUUUGAAAGAUCAAGUUAUCAUUACUCUCUUUGCCACAUUUACUACCAGAUUUUGCUUUGUCUGGACACUUCCUA